CGUGGAGGCCGGGUGCAGCCCCGUCGGCUCCGCGCUCCCGGCAGAAAGGGCUUUUCUACGCCCCCCGCCCAUCACUUGGAUCUGGUCUGGUAUUCCUCGGGGGUCCCUGGGCCGGCCGUGGCAGCUGAGUUUCUCCAGCAACUAAAAGAAGAAAGAUGUCCCCCCCGCCCCCGCCCCAAACCCUCCUUUCUGGUCCCUGGGAGUGCUCCCCUCAUGGCGCUCAGAACUGGUUGGUGAUCACCACGGAAAAUAAAAAAGAUGCCAUCUGCAGAUGGUUGCUAAACACG